UACGUAGGGGGCUAGCGUUGUCCGGAUUUAUUGGGCGUAAAGGGCGCGUAGGCGGCCUUCUAAGUCAGACGUGAAAUCCCCCGGCUUAACCUGGGAACUGCGUCUGAUACUGGGAGGCUAGAGUGCGGGAGAGGGAUGCGGAAUUCCAGGUGUAGCGGUGAAAUGCGCAGAUAUCAGGAGGAACACCAAUUGCGAAGGCAGCUCGCUGGGACGUUACUGACGCUGAGACGCGAAAGCGUGGGGAGCAAACAGG
rnacentral:rRNA from 1 species